GAAAUAUUAUAUCACUUGUUGGCAAGUGUUUUAUCCAUACCUACUUACUGAAAGCUAAGAUCGCUAAAAUUGGUCAGCAAAUGAGAAAAUGCAAGGACAGAGCCAUCAGGCCUAUUGGCUCGUUAGCACCUCUGGCAACUCUGCAUGUUCACAGGGAAACCUCCAUGACCUCAGCUCCCCCAAAACAGGCAAAAUGAAACACAUGUAUUCUAGCUUUGAUCUUGUCUCUCGUGAAUAUGCUCUAUCCAGGACUUCUCUGUCAUCACUCCCCAGAAGCUGGAAGAAAGAGCCACAGCCAUGCCAGGAGUGGAGCCAGGGAGUGCAGGACACGGCAGCAGCAGCCACAUAGGAUGGGCUGUCUACACGCAAGGUGGGUGUGCCCAUGGAGCAGGUUGCAGAGAAACUGUGGGAGAUCACAGACUACAGAGAUCAUUCUGGCAUUUGGCACUCUAAGGAAAGUAUAAGGCAAUUCUGUCUGAUUAUUUAAAAUAGAAUCGUUUCUGUCCCAAACCCAUUUACUUUAGGAGGAGAUAGGAUUCCAUUCUUGAGAUGUCUUUGACUGCUUCUGUUGGAUCUGGUGGAAGUCCUUUCUGCAUUUCUCAGAGGAUCAUCAGUGCAACACCCUGAGGAAAGCAGUAACAUAGAAAUUACACAGUUCUACUGGAGAUUCACCUUUAUCCAAAUCGAAGAUGAAGCAUUUUGGGGGCAAUAAUAGGAUGUUAAUUGUUAAUCAGUUCUGGGUCCUGGGAAUAUGAGGGAGUUUAAUUAUCUAUAUUUUAUAUUCCUCUUUUAAAAUCUUUAACAUUUAAAAGUUUUUAAAAACGUCAAAAAUGCCAUGAUUAUUUUAUCUUGAGAUAUUUAAGGAUUAGAGAUACUUGAAAAAUAUACACAAAGCAAGAGUCUGGCAUAUACAUAUUCCUAAUAUGAGCAAAACUGUGUCAUUCCAGAGAUUUUGGCAUGUUGAAUGGCCACCGUGGUGAUCUACAGUCUUCAAGAACAGUACACUUACACCUUCAGGAGGAACUCCAGCUUCCCUGCAGCUUUAUUUCCUGAAGAGGUCAUGCUGACCAGAGAGGCGGCCACACUGAGCUUCCGAACCACCGUCCCCUGGCUUACAGCUCUACAAGAGCUCCUUCCGCGAGGAAUACCUUCCAGUUGUUCUCACCUUAAAUGGGUCUCACUCUGUCACCCAGACUGGAGGGCAGUGGCACAAUCACAGCUCACUGUAGCCUCGACCUCCUGGGCUCCAGAGAUCCUCCCACCUCAGGAGGACAUCAGUCCUCCAGACAGACAUCAGGCCCCGGUGGACACCAGGCCCCAAGUGGGACACAAGCCCAAGGCGGACAUCAGGCCUGAGGAGGACAUCCGGCCCCUGGUGAACAUUAGGUGCAGGUGUCCAAGCAGGCCCUGAGUGGACAUAACAGUGUCUAGGUAAGGAGUUGACCUUGGAGGAGGGUGAGCAGUCAGUAGCCCAGUGGAGUCCUGAGUAGGUCUUACGGAAGAAAGGGGCCGUGGAGACGGAAACUUAAAGAAGCAGACUCACUUACUUGAUGACAGACCCGAACAGAACUUAGAACUCUAGUAACCAGGUGCCCAUAUCCUAGAGUCAGCCCUGUGGCCAGCUUACUUGGUGAGAGACGCUCAAAAGAGAGAGAUGUUCUCAUGUUGCAUCCCCGCUUCCCAAGGCUGCUCCUUCAGGAAUGGCAGAAGAGCCUUUUCCGACGA
ensembl:lncRNA